UUUUUAGAAGGUAGAGUUUGUGAAGAUGAGAAUAUGUCUGGGGUUACAGAUGGUUGAAUUUGUGAUGUUGGUGACAGUGGCAGCAGCAGCUGUGAAGGUUCAGAUGGCGGCUGUUUUGAAGGUUGAGAUGCAUUGUUGUUCAUCGACUCUUUGUUAUCAAACGUAUCCCAAAAGAUUGAGAAUAUGUCUGCUUUUUCUCCCCGAUGAUCAGGGGUUACAGAUGGUUGAAUUUGUGAUGUUGGUGACAGUGGCAGCAGCAGCUGUGAAGGUUCAGAUGGCGGCUGUUUUGAAGGUUGAGAUGCAUUGUUGUUCAUCGACUCUUUGUUAUCAAACGUAUCCCAAAAGAUUGAGAAUAUGUCUGCUUUUUCUCCCCGAUGAUCAGGGGUUACAGAUGGUUGAAUUUGUGAUGUUGGUGACAGUGGCAGCAGCAGCUGUGAAGGUUCAGAUGGCGGCUGUUUUGAAGGUUGAGAUGCAUUGUUGUUCAUCGACUCUUUGUUAUCAAACGUAUCCCAAAAGGUUGAGAAUAUGUCUGCUUUUUCUCCCCGAUGAUCAGGGGUUACAGAUGGUUGAAUUUGUGAUGUUGGUGACAGUGGCAGCAGCAGCUGUGAAGGUUCAGAUGGCGGCUGUUUUGAAGGUUGAGAUGCAUUGUUGUUCAUCGACUCUUUGUUAUCAAACGUAUCCCAAAAGGUUGAGAAUAUGUCUGGUUUUUCUCCCUGAUGAUCAGGGGUUACAGAUGGUUGAAUUUGUGAUGUUGGUGACAGUGGCAGCAGCAGCUGUGAAGGUUCAGAUGGCGGCUGUUUUGAAGGUUGAGAUGCAUUGUUGUUCAUCGACUCUUUGUUAUCAAACGUAUCCCAAAAGGUUGAGAAUAUGUCUGCCUUUUCUCCCUGAUGAUCAGGGGUUACAGAUGGUUGAAUUUGUGAUGUUGGUGACAGUGGCAGCAGCAGUUGUGAAGGUUGAGAUGGCGGCUGUUUUGAAGGUUGAGAUGCAUUGUUGUUCAUCGACUCUUUGUUAUUACGCGUAUCCCGGCGGAGGGUUGAGAAUAUGUCUGGUUUUUCUCCCUGAUGAUCAGGGGUUACAGA
rnacentral:lncRNA from 1 species